GACGUAGGGCGCGAGCGUUGUCCGGAUUUAUUGGGCGUAAAGAGCUCGUAGGCGGCUUGUUGCGUCGACUGUGAAAACCCGCGGCUUAACCGCGGGCUUGCAGUUGAUACGGGCAGGCUAGAGUUCGGUAGGGGAGACUGGAAUUCCUGGUGUAGCGGUGAAAUGCGCAGAUAUCGGGAGGAACACCGGUGGCGAAGGCGGUUCUCUGGGCCUGUUCUGACGCUGAGGAGCGAAAGCGUGGGGAGCAAACAGG
rnacentral:rRNA from 1 species